GUUUGAAGUUUUUGUUAACCUUGUCACCUUUAUCGGGUUUUUGAAACACUUGCUUUCUAUUUUCUACCGAAAGGACAUGAUCAUUGUUUGUACAUAAACGCGUAACGUUUUCGUUUUCCUUUCUCACGCUGUGUUAGGAAGUGCCUCAACCGCUGAGCGGUCCUGGGCGUGUUCAUUUCGAAUUGCUAUAAGUGAAAAAGGGGGUGAGGGGGAAAGAGGGAAUACAACAAAAUGGUAGCUAAAACAACUGGAAGGAAUACAAAGUUGACCGCCCGCCAAAGGGUGGCCAUUAGUGAGCGGAGCAUAACAAAAAAAAACAUAAUAAAACAAAAAAGAACAUAUUUUAAGCGUCAAAACAUGUAGAUAAUGAUUUUUCUGUACUUACGUCUCAGCAAUUUGACAGACACAGAAAAUAUCAACGUAACACUACGGUUUAAUGAAAAUAAUAUUUAAUCAACCCCUUAGUAUAAAUAACUAGAGCAAAUUGUACCGCAAACACUACGCGUGAACUCAUCUAUACUUACUAACGGUUUAAGUGAUAGUGACAGAUACUUUCUAGCGUAGCAGUGGGCGAGAUAUGAAUCUGAAAUCUUAGCUAAGCAUACUAGACAAUGGCCACAGAUAGUAGAUAUUAAUCAACUGUAUAGCUAUCACUGCAAAAAUAGAAAACCAAAAAAAAAGGGAGAUAAUUACUGAUUACCGUACACGCAGCGGAGCCGAAAUACGUGGUUCAUAAUCGUACGUUAACUGGGAUUUUUCUCAACCGAACAGUUGGGGAUGGAAAACAAUUGAACGAUCGCAUAUAUACAUCAAUAUAUAUAUAAACGCUGACGGGCCGGCUUAUCGGUGCUCGCGGUUAGAGAGGAAUGAUGCCCGGGGGCGAUAAGAAAUGCAACUAAAGCUAUAAUAAUAUUAAAAGUAAUUUUGAUGCACUGCCAAAAUGGUUUUUAAGAAAAACUUAUAUAAACAAUGAUACCGAUGUUUGCGAUGAUUAAAAAAUGUGGUAAAGUCUAAUCAAAAGCUAAUGUUUCACGUAACGAUGCAGCCAACGGAGGGGCUCUUUCUUUGACCAACCAAACAGAACAAGAACAAAAAGCAUAGAAAGCAAAAACGCGCACCGACAAGCAGAAAGUCAAACUUUGUAAAUCAAAACUUUCUCACUCAUCAUACAAUUGAAGGAAAUAACCACACAAAGCAAAAAAAAAACGUAUAAAAAAAAACAAUUUACUCAAAUGUUGACAAAGAUAGCUCAUUGCAAUCAAUAGCAAUAUCAAAAUGAAUUAUGGACUCGUGAAAGAAAAUGUUAUUUUUUCGAUGUUUUCCGGUUUCUCUUUUUCUGUUAUUUUUUUCAGAUUCAGAAAAAUUAAUUUUAAAUCACAGGUAGGAUGGUAUGUGUUACUUUUUGUAUAAUAAUUUUAAAUUCAAAAAAUUACAUUGUACUGAAAAAAGUCGUUUGCUAUCAAAGCGUGAAACAAACAUUCACAUGGAAAUGCUUUUAAAUCACUGCCAAAAGAAGCGUUUUAGAAUCGAAUCGCUUCCGUUUUUGCUCACUCUUCUCACUGUACCACCGUUAGAACACUCUCUGUUUGUUAUUUUGCUGUACCAUUGGCUCUUUUUAUGGAAUAAUCGAGGAUGCUUUCAAAAAAGUAAAUGGAAGAAUAGCAUUGACAUUAUGAGCAAACGCUGUUUAACGAGGCAAGUUUCAGACAACACAAGAUAUCUCAUUACCAGUGAAUUAAACCUUAACAGAAGAACAAAAACCACGCAUUACAGCACGUUAAAUAUAUAAACUAUAAAGUAAAAACAAAACAAUAAAAAUAUACACUCACACAAACACAGAAACAUACACUAUUAACAAAAAACAAAACGAGUUCGAACAAUACGAGUGUCAGUAUAUGAGUAAAACCAAAAUCGGGCAGCUGCUAGCUGACACCGAUGGCCGACAAGUGAGGGCGGUAAGGUAGGGACAGUUUCCAAGCAUGGCAGCAAAACAUUAAUAAUAAUAAUAAUAAUAAUAUAAUGGAUGGCGAAUGAAGCGCCGAUCGCAUGUAUAAUUUGUAAGUUUUUACAUAGUACAGCAAAACAAAUACCAGCAAACAAAAACGACGCAAACUUAGAGCUAACUUGUCGUAAAGAAAAGUGCAGCGAUGCCUCCUGAGGUGUACUAUAAGGAGAGAAAAACUUAGCUGCAUAAAUUAUAUAAUAAAAUUGACUAAAAAAGCAUGCCAUGCACUGAAAAUCAUGGGAAAAGUGAAAAAGUGAACAGGAAAACAUUCUCUAGUAGGAAACGGCAACAUGUCACCUUCGAUAAGAGGGCUGUUGAUAAUUCUAAAUGUAAAUAGUAAAGAUAUUUGAAAAUUUGAAGAUAAAAAAAAACGAAAACCGAAGAGAAAGAUUGCAUAGUAAUGUUCUGUUAACGUUUUCUGUACCCAGAAAAAAAUGGCAAGCGUGAGCGUUAGCGAAGCUGCAAUAUAAGCUACAUUAAAAAGAAAAAAGGAAAUUCUUAGACACACUUGAGGUUAACGAAGGGAAAAGAUGCGGCGCAUACGAGCACGCAACGGACAAAUACGAGCAAAAACCUUACCAACUACUUACAACACCGCCAAAGACAGUCGCACUUGGAAACGUUAAUGACAAACAGAAGAAAAAAAAGAAUAAAAAGAAAAACAAUAUCUAGCCAGUAAGAAUAACAUUAACUGCUUACACGAUUCACAAACUGCACAAUUAUUUGCAGUCUCGUAGGACGCAGCUGCCAGUAUAAGUAUAAGUCACACAAAUGACAGAUAACGUAGCGACACAUUGAGGAUCAAUCCAAUCACCCAAGGGUUCCAUCUGCAGUCGGGGCAGCAGUUUUUAUUGUCAUCAUAACGAAAAAUAAAAACGUAUAGUCUCGAAUUAAACAAAGAAGCGGGCGGAAGGAAACUAGCGAGCAUAAAUGGAAAAUACAUACGGCAGGUGGGAAGACGAAGUAAACGCAUAUUAAAACGAAAUAAGUGCUACGAACACAUUCAAAUAAACAAAAGAAAAAAAAACAAGAAACGCUAAUCAAGAAAACAAAACAAAAGAAAAAAACCACUAAAAAGAAAGUUGGUUGGUGGCAGUUGAUA